GCCCGCCUAGCUCAAUCGGAUAGAGCGUCAGACUUUUACGGACUGACGGCGGGUUCAUCCUCAUGUCGCCUAAUAGGCAUCUGAAGGCUGCGAGUUCGACCCUCGCGGUGGGCU
rnacentral:tRNA from 1 species